UGCCAAUGAUGAAUGAAUUGGUGAAAUAGUAAUGAAUAAUCUAUCAUGAUUAUGCAAUCACUACUGCCUUCCUUCUGAGGUC